GCCCUUCAUCCAGAUGAUCCUGAGCCUCCGGAUUGAGCCAGACGCAUUUAUUUGCAUAUUUAUUUUAUUAUUUUAUUUUUGGGCUUGUUUGUAUUCUAGGGUUUAUUUGUAGUUUAUGUUAUUUCUAGGCUUAUUUGCAUUUUAGGACUUAUUUGUGUUAUUUGUGGGUUUAUUAGGAUUUAUUUCUGUGUAAGGGGGGUUUAUGCAAGUUGUGUAUUUGGGCCCUAUAUAUAGGGAACUAUUUUCAUGAUUAGGGUUUAAUGAAGAAUCAAGAAAUUUCUUUCCCCCACGUUUUCCUCUCCUUUCUCCUCCUCCCUUCUCCUUCUUCUCUUCUUCUUCCUCCUCCUCUUCCCCUCUUCUUCUGCUUCCAUUUUAAAUUUGGUUCGGCAUCAACUUGGUAUCAGAGCAAAGGCUUUGCCCCUGCUGCCAAAGCCACGAUCCAGCAUCGUCUUCCAUCUAUCACACCACAACCAGUUCCCUUCCCGACACCACCGCCGAGUCUGUGAAGGCCCAGAUCGCCGCCCAUCCGCAUCUGACCCUCCCUCUCUCUCGGUUUGUGUUUUCACCAGAGCAAAAAACAAAAUAAAUAAAUAUAUUCCCUCGCUCUCUCGGUUUCACAGGAAAGACAGAGAGGAACAACCCCUACGGGUUACAAAAAAAAAAAAAAACAAGAAACAGGGUUGUCGUCCCCGCUCGUCCGCCGCUGCUCCACCACUUGCAACCACCGUCUGUGGCCGGAUAUAGGAGAGGAACGCCGCCACACCACCCCGCUCGCCUCCGCCACGCAGUACCCACCCCGCUUGCCCUUCCACUGAGCACCACCGGGAUGUGCCCAUCCCCCAUUAGCAACGUCGCCAAGGAUUCCAACCAC
rnacentral:lncRNA from 1 species